GUUGACCUCGGAUCAGGUAGGGAUACCCGCUGAACUUAAGCAUAUCAAUAAGCGGAGGAAAAGAAACCAACAGGGAUUGCCUCAGUAACGGCGAGUGAAGCGCCACCCCCUUCCAAAUA
rnacentral:rRNA from 1 species